rnacentral:rRNA from 1 species
GAUGAACGCUAGCGACAGGCUUAACACAUGCAAGUCGAGGGGCAGCAUAAAAGUAGCAAUACUUUGGUGGCGACCGGCGCACGGGUGAGUAACGCGUAUGGAACCUACCUAUCAGAGGGGAAUAACCCGGCGAAAGUCGGACUAAUACCGCAUAAAACAGGGGCACCGCAUGGUGAUAUUUGUUAAAGAAAUUCGCUGAUAGAUGGGCAUGCGUUCCAUUAGGUAGUUGGUGAGGUAACGGCUCACCAAGCCGACGAUGGAUAGGGGAACUGAGAGGUUGGGCCCCCACCCUGGUACUGAGACACGGACCAGACUCCUACGGGAGGCAGCAGUGAGGAAUAUUGGUCAAUGGGCGGGAGCCUUAACCAGCCAAGUCGCGUGAAGGAAGAAGGAUCUAUGGUUCGUAAACUUCUUUUGCAGGGGAAUAAAGUGCAGGACGUGUCCUGUUUUGUAUGUACCCUGAGAAUAAGGAUCGGCUAACUCCGUGCCAGCCGCCGCCGUAACAC